rnacentral:rRNA from 1 species
AACGCGAAGAACCUUACCUACCCUUGACAUCUAUAGAAUUUUGCAGAGAUGCGAAAGUGCCGAAAGGAACUGUAAGACAGGUGCUGCAUGGCUGUCGUCAGCUCGUGUUGUGAGAUGUUGGGUUAAGUCCCGUAACGAGCGCAACCCUUAUCCUUAGUUACCAUCGAGUAAAGUCGGGGACUCUAAGGAGACUGCUGGUGAAGAACCGGAGGAAGGCGGGGACGACGUCAAGUCAUCAUGGCCUUUAUGGGUAGGGCUACACACGUGCUACAAUGGUCAGUACAGAGGGUAGCCAACCCGCGAGGGGGAGCCAAUCUCAGAAAGCUGAUCGUAGUCCGGAUUGAAGUCUGCAACUCGACUUCAUGAAGUCGGAAUCGCUAGUAAUCGCGAAUCAGAAUGUCGCGGUGAAUACGUUCCCGGGCCUUGUACACACCGGACACGC